AACUGAACCUCCGGGAUGCCUAAUUCUUCUCCAGCUUUAAUAGCAAAACUCAUGAUGCCAUCAGAAACUAUGCAAGUAACCAAAGGCACUUCAGAGGAUGAGUUGAGCUUAAGCACUAGCUCUUUGAAAGGGACCAAACAGUUCUUUCUGGUGGCAUCCAUUAAGCUUGGAACAUGUUGAGUUGCAUCACGGUCCGAUGGUGGCAACCCAUCUGGUAUUGUUUCAAACUGGAAAUCAGGUAGCCCCUUUAUGUAGUCAAGCCCUUUGGAUCGGAUUAAGCGUCUGUGGUUGAACUCAGUGUUUACAAAGGUUAUAUGGAAGCCCCUUGAGUGUAGGAGCAUGGCUAAUCGCAUCAUGGGUGUUACAUGGCCUUGUGCUGGGAAUGGAACACAUACUGCAUGGGGCUUUGUAGCUCGAACUGAACCCAUAUCACUUGCAAGUUAAUAUAUAUAUUUUUUAUAUGGAAUCAAAAAAAAUAAAAAUAAAAAU